rnacentral:rRNA from 1 species
UGCAAGUCGAGGGGUAACGGAAGUAGCUUGCUACUAGACGACGACCGGCGCACGGGUGAGUAACGCGUAUGUAAUCUGCCUUGUACAGAGGGAUAGCCCAGAGAAAUUUGGAUUAAUACCUCAUAGUAUUACUGAAUCGCAUGAUUUGGUAAUUAAAGCUCCGGCGGUACAAGGUGAACAUGCGUGACAUUAGCUAGUUGGUAAGGUAACGGCUUACCAAGGCUACGAUGUCUAGGGGUUCUGAGAGGAUGAUCCCCCACACUGGUACUGAGACACGGACCAGACUCCUACGGGAGGCAGCAGUGAGGAAUAUUGGUCAAUGGACGCAAGUCUGAACCAGCCAUCCCGCGUGAAGGAUGACUGCCCUAUGGGUUGUAAACUUCUUUUAUAUGCAAAUAAACC